rnacentral:lncRNA from 1 species
CAGUGCAGACGACCACACCAUCAAUUACUGAACCAGGUCAGGUUGAUACUACUAGCAUGGCAUAUUGUUCGGAUCAACCCUCACGGCCUAUGAGCGAGUGACCAGGAUUCUAGGUAACUGCGGUAAGUUUGCGCCUCCGCUUGUCUGUGCAGUUUACUGGGAGAAAUCAAUGUUCAUUUGAGAGUUAGUAACCCUGGUGAUCUACUCCUUUUGACUUGUCCUGUCCAAACAUGAGGAAUCUUCAAGAAUGAUGGAAAAGUAGAUGGUUUACCAAAACUCACUGAAAGUGCUGUUAUUGUUGACAUGUCUUUAUCAUCUGAUGUCCUUUAAGGCCUAAAGGGUUGUUCCUCCACUAUUCCUUUUCAUUGUCAGAACUCAGUAGUGUCAUAUGCAGGAGGAAAUUUGAAACAAGUAGAUUACACUAUUGCUUAGCACUCAUUUUGUUGUACAAUGACGUUGCUGAAGUCCUUUUAUUGUUAGUUGCUGCUGUCAAGGACCAUGAUGCUUGCAUCGUCCUCACAUCCACCAUCUGGUGGACAAUGGAAAUGUUAACACAUGCUACAACGAGCUCUAGGCCAACCAACUAAUAAGUUCCAUAAUAUAAUUUAAAUUUGACUACGCUAGUCUGUGUCCUUUGUUAGUUCAUGAAUACUAUCAGUUAACCUAAACAUGCGGUCUUUAUUAACAACAUUGCAUUAUUAUUUACUUUCACGCCAUCCUGCUAACUUUGGUUAUUGUCUGUAAAUUAUGAAAAUAUUGCUUCAAGACUAUGCUUCAUGGUUAUUGUAGAGGAGCUCUACUGCUCAGGUGCUACACAAACGGAAGCAUUCCGUGGAUACUGAAGGUGCCCUUGCAGUUGCAGAACACA